rnacentral:tRNA from 1 species
GGGAGGAUUCCCGAGUGGCCAAAGGGAACAGACUGUAAAUCUGUCGUCAUUGACUUCGGUGGUUCGAAUCCACCUCCUCCCACCA